GAUGAACGCUGGCGGCGUGCCUAAUACAUGCAAGUCGAGCGAACGGACGAGAAGCUUGCUUCUCUGAUGUUAGCGGCGGACGGGUGAGUAACACGUGGAUAACCUACCUAUAAGACUGGGAUAACCUCGGGAAACCGGAGCUAAUACCGGAUGAUAUUUUGAACCGCAUGGUUCAAAAGUGAAAGACGGUCUUGCUGUCACUUAUAGAUGGAUCCGCGCUGCAUUAGCUAGUUGGUAAGGUAACGGCUUACCAAGGCAACGAUGCAUAGCCGACCUGAGAGGGGGAUGGGCCACACGGGAACGGAGACACGGUCCAGACCCCUACGGGAGGCAGCAGGAGGAAUCCUUCCGAAAUGGGCGAAAGCCGGACGGAGCAACGCGGCGGGAGGGAGGAAGGUCUUCGGAUCGUAAAACUUUGUUAUGAGGGAAAAACAUAUGUGUAAGUAACUUUGCACAUCUGGACGGUACCUAAUAAGAAAGCCACGGCUAACUACGUG
rnacentral:rRNA from 1 species